rnacentral:rRNA from 1 species
AACGGCCGUACCAUGCUGAAUAUACCGGUUCUCGUUAGAUCACCGAAGUUAAGCAUCAUUGGGCGCGGUCAGUACUUGGGUGGGUGACCACCUGGGAGAACACCGCGUGCC